GUCCGUCGCGACGUUCUGGGCAAGGAUUACGUCGACGGCAGCAUCGCCAAGGCCGACGACUUCAUGAUGGCGUUCCAGAACAUCACCACCGAAUGGUGCUGGGGUUACGCCUGGACCCGGCCGGGCCUCGACCGCAAGACCCGCAGCAUGCUCAACCUCGCCAUGCUGACGGCGCUGAAGGCGCCCAAUGAGAUCAAGCUCCAUGUCAAAGGC
rnacentral:misc_RNA from 1 species